rnacentral:rRNA from 1 species
AGUCGAGGGGUAACAGGGAUUGCUUGCAAUCCGCUGACGACCGGCGCACGGGUGCGUAACGCGUAUGCAACCUACCUUCUACAGGGGGAUAGUCAAUAGAAAUGUUGAAUAAUACCCCAUACGAUCAUUAAUCUGCAUGGAUUGAUGAAGAAAGUUCCGGCGGUAGAAGAUGGGCAUGCGCCCUAUUAGUUAGUUGGUAAGGUAACGGCUUACCAAGACAUCGAUAGGUAGGGGUCCUGAGAGGGAGAUCCCCCACACUGGUACUGAGACACGGACCAGACUCCUACGGGAGGCAGCAGUGAGGAAUAUUGGACAAUGGGGGCAACUCUGAUCCAGCCAUGCCGCGUGCAGGAAGACUGCCCUAUGGGUUGUAAACUGCUUUUAUACAGGAAGAAUAAGCCUUACGUGUAAGGUGAUGACGGUACUGUAAGAAUAAGGACCGGCUAACUCCGUGCCAGCAGCCGCGGUAAUACGGAGGGUCCGAGCGUUAUCCGGAAUUAUUGGGUUUAAAGGGUCCGUAGGCGGAUGAUUAAGUCAGGGGUGAAAGUUUGCAGCUCAACUGUAAAAUUGCCUUUGAUACUGAUGGACUUGAGUUAUAGUGAAGUAGUUAGAAUGUGUAGUGUAGCGGUGAAAUGCAUAGAUAUUACACAGAAUACCGAUUGCGAAAGCAGAUUACUAACUGUAUACUGACGCUGAGGGACGAAAGCGUGGGUAGCGAACAGGAUUAGAUACCCUGGUAGAAGGGC